rnacentral:rRNA from 1 species
CGUGAGCAACCUGCCCUGGACUCUGGGAUAAGCGCUGGAAACGGCGUCUAAUACUGGAUAUGAGACGUGAUCGCAUGGUCGUGUUUGGAAAGAUUUUUCGGUCUGGGAUGGGCUCGCGGCCUAUCAGCUUGUUGGUGAGGUAAUGGCUCACCAAGGCGUCGACGGGUAGCCGGCCUGAGAGGGUGACCGGCCACACUGGGACUGAGACACGGCCCAGACUCCUACGGGAGGCAGCAGUGGGGAAUAUUGCACAAUGGGCGGAAGCCUGAUGCAGCAACGCCGCGUGAGGGAUGACGGCCUUCGGGUUGUAAACCUCUUUUAGCAGGGAAGAAGCGAAAGUGACGGUACCUGCAGAAAAAGCGCCGGCUAACUACGUGCCAGCAGCCGCGGUAAUACGUAGGGCGCAAGCGUUAUCCGGAAUUAUUGGGCGUAAAGAGCUCGUAGGCGGUUUGUCGCGUCUGCUGUGAAAUCCCGAGGCUCAACC